rnacentral:rRNA from 1 species
AGCGAACGCUGGCGGCGUGCCUAACACAUGCAAGUCGAACGUGAAAGGGAGCAAUCCCAAGUAAAGUGGCGUACGGGUGAGUAACACGUAGGUAAUCUACCCCAGAAUCUGGAAUAACCGACCGAAAGGCUGGCUAAUACUGGAUAGAGCGACGGAAUCCGUAAUUGGGUUUUUCGGGAGAGGGAGCCUGUAAAAAGGCCUUCGUUCUGGGAUGAGCCUGCGUCCCAUCAGCUAGUUGGUGAGGUAAAAGCUUACCAAGGCAAUGACGGGUAGCUGGUCUGAGAGGACGAUCAGCCACACUGGAACUGAAACACGGUCCAGACUCCUACGGGAGGCAGCAGUGGGGAAUCUUGCGCAAUGGACGAAAGUCUGACGCAGCAACGCCGCGUGAGUGGAGAAGGCCUUUGGGUUGUAAAGCUCUGUCGAGUGGGACGAAAAUGCUUGGAGUUCACAGCUCCAGGAACUGACGGUACCACUAAAGGAAGCACCGGCUAACUCCGUG